GACGAACGCGGGCGGCGUGCUUAACACAUGCAAGUCGAACGCUGAAGCCUAGCUUGCUGGGUGGAUGAGUGGCGAACGGGUGAGUAACACGUGAGUAACCUGCCCUCUUCUUUGGGAUAACGCCCGGAAACGGGUGCUAAUACUGGAUAUUCACUGAUUCUCGCAUGGGGGUUGGUGGAAAGGUUUUUUCUGGUGGGGGAUGGGCUCGCGGCCUAUCAGCUUGUUGGUGGGGUGAUGGCCUACCAAGGCUUUGACGGGUAGCCGGCCUGAGAGGGUGACCGGUCACAUUGGGACUGAGAUACGGCCCAGACUCCUACGGGAGGCAGCAGUGGGGAAUAUUGCACAAUGGGCGAAAGCCUGAUGCAGCGACGCCGCGUGAGGGAUGGAGGCCUUCGGGUUGUAAACCUCUUUCGCUCAUGGUCAAGCCGCAACUUAGGGUUGUGGUGAGGGUAGUGGGUAAAGAAGCGCCGGCUAACUACGUGCCAGCAGCCGCGGUAAUACGUAGGGCGCGAGCGUUGUCCGGAAUUAUUGGGCGUAAAGGGCUUGUAGGCGGUUGGUCGCGUCUGCCGUGAAAUCCUCUGGCUUAACUGGGGGCGUGCGGUGGGUACGGGCUGACUUGAGUGCGGUAGGGGAGACUGGAACUCCUGGUGUAGCGGUGGAAUGCGCAGAUAUCAGGAAGAACACCGGUGGCGAAGGCGGGUCUCUGGGCCGUUACUGACGCUGAGGAGCGAAAGCGUGGGGAGCGAACAGG
rnacentral:rRNA from 1 species